AUAUCAAUAAGCGGAGGAAAAGAAACCAACAGGGAUUGCCUCAGUAACGGCGAGUGAAGCGGCAAAAGCUCAAAUUUGAAAUCUAGUACCUUCGGUGCUCGAGUUGUAAUUUGAAGAUAGUUUUCUGGCACUGGCCCUUGUCUAUGUUCCUUGGAACAGGACGUCAUAGAGGGUGAGAAUCCCGUCUGAUGGGGUGUCCAGUGCUUUGUAGAUUUCUAUCGAAGAGUCGAGUUGUUUGGGAAUGCAGCUCUAAGUGGGUGGUAAAUUCCAUCUAAAGCUAAAUACUGGCGAGAGACCGAUAGCGAACAAGUACAGUGAUGGAAAGAUGAAAAGAACUUUGAAAAGAGAGUGAAAAAGUACGUGAAAUUGUUGAAAGGGAAGGAUAUUGGAUCAGACUUGGUGUUUUGUGAUUAUCUUCCCUUCUUGGGUUGUGCACUCGCAUUUCACUGGGCCAGCAUCGGUUCGGAUGGCAGGAUAAUGGCUUGGGAACGUGGCACCCCUCGGGGUGUGUUAUAGCCCUUGUUGAUGCUGCCUAUCUGGACCGAGGACUGCGGCUUUUGCCUAGGAUGCUGGCGUAAUGAUUCAAUAUCGC
rnacentral:rRNA from 2 species